UGGAGAGUUUGAUCCUGGCUCAGGACGAACGCUGGCGGCGUGCUUAACACAUGCAAGUCGAACGGUGAUGUCAGAGCUUGCUCUGGCGGAUCAGUGGCGAACGGGUGAGUAACACGUGAGUAACCUGCCCCUGACUCUGGGAUAACUGCUAGAAAUGGUAGCUAAUACCGGAUAUGACGAUUGGCCGCAUGGUCUGGUCGUGGAAAGAAUUUCGGUUGGGGAUGGACUCGCGGCCUAUCAGGUUGUUGGUGAGGUAAUGGCUCACCAAGCCUACGACGGGUAGCCGGCCUGAGAGGGUGACCGGCCACACUGGGACUGAGACACGGCCCAGACUCCUACGGGAGGCAGCAGUGGGGAAUAUUGCACAAUGGGCGAAAGCCUGAUGCAGCAACGCCGCGUGAGGGAUGACGGCCUUCGGGUUGUAAACCUCUUUUAGUAGGGAAGAAGCGAAAGUGACGGUACCUGCAGAAAAAGCACCGGCUAACUACGUGCCAGCAGCCGCGGUAAUACGUAGGGUGCAAGCGUUGUCCGGAAUUAUUGGGCGUAAAGAGCUCGUAGGCGGUUUGUCGCGUCUGCUGUGAAAUCCCGAGGCUCAACCUCGGGUCUGCAGUGGGUACGGGCAGACUAGAGUGCGGUAGGGGAGAUUGGAAUUCCUGGUGUAGCGGUGGAAUGCGCAGAUAUCAGGAGGAACACCGAUGGCGAAGGCAGAUCUCUGGGCCGUAACUGACGCUGAGGAGCGAAAGCAUGGGGAGCGAACAGGAUUAGAUACCCUGGUAGUCCAUGCCGUAAACGUUGGGAACUAGAUGUGGGGACCAUUCCACGGUCUCCGUGUCGCAGCUAACGCAUUAAGUUCCCCGCCUGGGGAGUACGGCCGCAAGGCUAAAACUCAAAGGAAUUGACGGGGGCCCGCACAAGCGGCGGAGCAUGCGGAUUAAUUCGAUGCAACGCGAAGAACCUUACCAAGGCUUGACAUAUACCGGAAACGUGCAGAAAUGUGCGCCCCGCAAGGUCGGUAUACAGGUGGUGCAUGGUUGUCGUCAGCUCGUGUCGUGAGAUGUUGGGUUAAGUCCCGCAACGAGCGCAACCCUCGUUCUAUGUUGCCAGCACGUAAUGGUGGGAACUCAUAGGAGACUGCCGGGGUCAACUCGGAGGAAGGUGGGGAUGACGUCAAAUCAUCAUGCCCCUUAUGUCUUGGGCUUCACGCAUGCUACAAUGGCCGGUACAAAGGGCUGCGAUACCGUAAGGUGGAGCGAAUCCCAAAAAGCCGGUCUCAGUUCGGAUUGAGGUCUGCAACUCGACCUCAUGAAGUCGGAGUCGCUAGUAAUCGCAGAUCAGCAACGCUGCGGUGAAUACGUUCC
rnacentral:rRNA from 1 species